UUGCAAAAUAGAAGAACACAUAGAGUCGAUGGGAUCGUGGCGUACGUCCUGCUGGGAAAUGCAGGAAAGUCGAAGCUUGGGUGGUGAUGAAAGCGAUGAGGACGAUUAAGCUGCUUGUUUACAGUGAUCUAUUACAAAUUCAACUUGACAGUCGAGAAUUUCUCCUCAAUUAUGCAUUAUGUAGAUCAUCUAUCAAGAUUCUUAUCUGUCAGUCGAGACGUCAUCGCCCGUGCCAGAAAAUUACCCAACCGGACGUAUGUAUACGCAAUUCAUAUUGAAGAUUCCUAUGUUAAUGAUCGAAAAAUAACAUCUUUCUCAUGACAACAAAAAAUAAAGUAGGAAUUUUUCAAAUCACAGAACACAGAGAAAAACAUGAGCAAUAAAUGUGUAUCUAUACAGAAAA
rnacentral:sRNA from 1 species